rnacentral:rRNA from 1 species
CGGCCCGCACAAGCAGCGGAGCGUGUGGUUUAAUUCGAUGCUACACGAAGAACCUUACCAGGGUUUGACAUACAAGUGGUAGAGAAGCGAAAGCGGACCGACCCUUCGGGGAGCUUGUACAGGUGCUGCGUGGCUGUCGUCAGCUCGUGUCGUGAGAUGUUCGGUUAAGUCCGCUAACGAGCGCAACCCUCGCUGUGUGUUACAAGUGUCACACGGAACUGCCGGUCAUAAACCGGAGGAAGGUGGGAUGACGUCAAGUCAGCAUGGCCUUUAUAUCCUGGGCUACACACACGCUACAAUGGGAAGGGACAAUAGGUUGCGAAGCCGCGAGGUGGAGCCAAUCCAGCAAAACUUCCCUCAGUUCAGAUUGCAGGCUGCAACUCGCCUGCAUGAAGUUGGAGUUGCUAGUAAACGCAGGUCAGCCAUACUGCGUUGAAUACGUUCCCGGGGCUU